rnacentral:sRNA from 1 species
AUGUCCCGCUCGUCCGCUCCGGUUCCUGCGCGCCGUCCACACCUACCUGAAGGCUGCGCGCUCCGUUGUAUUAGCC